UUUAUUGUUUUUUUCUUUUUUAUAAUAAGAGAGUAAAAUUCAUGUAGAAAUAAAAGGAGAGAUUCAAUGGAAUUCUUUAUUUCAACGUCAUAAGUGCAUUAUACCAAAUAAGACAACAAAUGUAUGGUUUUUUUUAUCAUUUAUUGUUUAUGUUUUGUUAUUUUAGAUUCACUCAACUUGAUUUAUGGACUUCAACCCAAUAUUUAAUCAAGUUAAUUUUCAAUUUGUAGUUCAACU
rnacentral:lncRNA from 1 species